rnacentral:rRNA from 1 species
UACGUAGGGGGGCAAGCGUUGUCCGGAAUUAUUGGGCGUAAAGAGCGUGUAGGCGGUCCGGUAAGUCAGCUGUGAAAGUCAAGGGCUCAACCCUUGAAAGCCGGUUGAUACUGUCGGGCUAGAGUCCGGAAGAGGCGAGUGGAAUUCCCGGUGUAGCGGUGAAAUGCGCAGAUAUCGGGAGGAACACCUAUGGCGAAGGCAGCUCGCUGGGACGUUACUGACGCUGAGACGCGAAAGCGUGGGGAGCAAACAGG